rnacentral:lncRNA from 1 species
CUAAGGAAGUCUUCGGGGAGGAAAGAGUAUCUCAGAGGGGCAGGUGCAGCCACAGCGUGGGCCCGCGUGCCUGGUGCUAAGCUGGGCCCAUUACGCUUGGAAAAUCCUGGAGCCCAGAAAGGUGAAGCAAACUGCCUGAGGUCAAGCUCAUAAUGUGAAGUGGAGCUGCAAUGUCUACUCAAGAGUGUCUGACAUCUGCACUUUUUACUCUGCCAGGUAAGAAGACCCUCACCAGAUGUGGCCCCUCACUCCUGGACUUCCAAGCCUCCAGAAUCAUGAACUAAAUACAUUUCUAUUUGUUAUAAAUUACUCAGCCUCAGGUAUUGCUAGAGCAGUAGAAAACAGACUGAGAAAGGCUGUGUCUCCCUCCUCAGACUGAAGGAUCUUUGUGAUCAGAUGCUGUGUCUAUAUCCUUUGUUCAUUUGUUUGAUAUUUGCUGAGGACCUUUUAAGUGCCAGGCACUAUUCUAGAUUCAGAAUACUAUGUUGAAAAGACAGACAAAACCACUGGUCUCAUGGAACUUACAAGUUAGUUGCGACAAAUGACAAUAAACAACAAACAAUUUUAGGUUA